rnacentral:lncRNA from 1 species
GCUAGAAUAAAGCAGGCAGAAGUUGGAAAGAGCAGACUUGCUAAGCCUUCUGGCCUUCAUCUUUCUCCCAUGCUGGAUGCUUCCCACCCUUAAACAUCAGCCUCCAAGUUCUUUGGCUUUUGGACUUUCGGACUUACUCUAGUGGUUUGCCAGGGGCUCUUGGGCCUGCGGCCACAGACUGAAGGCUGCGCUGUCUGCUUCCGUACUUUUGAGGUUUUGGGACUGGGACUGAUCCACUACUGGCUUCCUUGCUCCUUAACUUGCAGACGGC